rnacentral:rRNA from 1 species
GUCUAUGGCCAUGCCACCUUGAACAAGCCCAAUGUCUGAUCUCAGAAACUAAGCGGGGUUGGGCCUGGUUAGUACUUGGAUGGGAGACCACCCAGGAAGACCAGGUGCUGUAGGCA